UUGGUAUGGCUGGUGGUUCUGUUCAUACCCAGGCAAAACACUAAUCAGCAAUUACUAACACAAUUAGGCCAAUAGAUUGGUCAAAGGGGAUUGUCAUAUGCCACAGACGGAUUAAUAGCCCAAGCAAAAUGUAGUUAUCAACUUCAAACAACCACAGAAAGGACAUCUGCCUACCAUAUCCCACAUCCUUGAAUACAAAACCAUAAGAACCAAAAUCCCUAGAACUACACCCUAACACAUCCACACCAAUGCUCCUAAGAAUCCGCAAGUGCCUUGUCAAUUUCUUCAACGUGAUCCCUAAGUACAUUCCACUGAUCAACACUUAAUGAUAUUCCCUUUUUGCCAGGCAGUUGCUUUCCAUCUUUGAGAUAGAACUCGCGAAUGUCUAUCCAGACCUUUCCUUGCCAGUUCCUCACUGUCACUCUCCUGUUCUUCGAUAUCUCGCAAACGACGAUGUCAUCAGAGUCGUUGGCAGAAUCAGUCUUGGAAGCUUUCUUGGGAGGAGCGUGGCCGUCCGAGUUAUCAUCCGAUGCGCCCUCCUCCUCCUUUCGCUUUCCUCUGCCAGACAUUGUUACUGAUCUCUCUCCUUUCUUUCUUCUGUUUGUCCAAAC
rnacentral:misc_RNA from 1 species